AGAGAAAGACGUCUUGGCAAUCACCUGUUUUCUGACCACAUCAGCCAACAAUGAUUGUUCCUGAGCUCCUACAGAACCUGGAUUUUCCACAGAGAUUUGUGGACAGGACGACUUAGUCCUCACCAAGAAGACAGACUUCUUGUGCAGCAGACUGAAUGCACAGCUAACUUCCAGGCCCCCUGAGCCUCCACCUGAAUUACCUGGUUGGCCACAGCUGGCCACAGCCGGAAGCUGUAGUUUUCAUCACUGAUUCAUCAGAUACUGAUUAAAAAUUUACUCUGGG
rnacentral:lncRNA from 1 species